UGCAGUCGAACGGAACUACUUUUAGUAGCAAUACCGAGAGUAGUUUAGUGGCGAACGGGUGCGUAACACGUGGGCAAUCUGCCGAGAAGUGGGGGAUAGCUCGCCGAAAGGCGAAUUAAUACCGCAUGUGAUGAGAGGCGACAUCGUCUUGAAAUCAAAGCCGGGGCAACCUGGCGCUUUUUGAGGAGCCCGCGGCCUAUCAGCUUGUUGGUGAGGUAACGGCUCACCAAGGCUUUGACGGGUAGCUGGUCUGAGAGGACGACCAGUCACACUGGAACUGAGACACGGUCCAGACACCUACGGGUGGCAGCAGUCGAGAAUUUUUCUCAAUGGGGGAAACCCUGAAGGAGCGACGCCGCGUGGAGGAUGAAGGCUUUCGGGUUGUAAACUCCUGACAUUUGAGAACAAGGCGCACGUAUUAACUGUACGUGCGUUGAUAGUAUCAGAAGAGGAAGGGACGGCUAACUCUGUGCCAGCAGCCGCGGUAAUACAGAGGUCCCAAGCGUUGUUCGGAUUCACUGGGCGUAAAGGGCUCGUAGGUGGCCAACUAAGUCAGACGUGAAAUCCCUCGGCUUAACCGGGGAACUGCGUCUGAUACUGGAUGGCUUGAGUUUGGGAGAGGGAUGCGGAAUUCCAGGUGUAGCGGUGAAAUGCGUAGAUAUCUGGAGGAACACCGGUGGCGAAGGCGGCAUCCUGGACCAACACUGACACUGAGGAGCGAAAGCCAGGGGAGCAAACGGGAUUAGAUACCCCGGUAGUCCUGGCCCUAAACGAUGAAUGCUUGGUGUGGCGGGUAUCGAUCCCUGCCG
rnacentral:rRNA from 1 species